rnacentral:tRNA from 1 species
GCGAAAGUAGCUCAGUUGGUAGAGCACAACCUUGCCAAGGUUGGGGUCGCGGGUUCGAAUCCCGUCUUUCGCUC